CAGACGGCACAAGUCCCAUCUGCGUUUCAGACAAACAACAAAGACACUUUACUGCAUGUCCCAAAUAAUUGCAGGGGACAUCCUUACAUUAAAAAACUCUCUGCUGUUCAUCUGAAAUUCAGGCAGAACUGGGUGUGCUGCAUUUUAUCUGGCAACACCAUGGGAGAGCCAGGGGGGCUGGGCUGAGUUCUCUUACCCCGUGAGGCCCAGCACGCCGGGAGGCUCCGCAGAGAGAAUGAAAGCAAAGCCGAAGACGCAAUCUGAAAUCCUGGCUUCCCCAGGAAAAGCCAGUGCCAGGGUAGCUACUAAUGAGGAGAAAAGAAAAUCAUCACAGUCAAAGCAAGUUCAACAAAAACUUAGCAUUUUGCUGCUAACUUACUCCAAGAAAACCUAAAAUCCUCAACUGGCUCAUUCGUCCUCCAAUACCUCUGAUGAAAAGGUAGAGAGACUUUUCCACUAAUUAUUUCAGCCACUGUGAAAAUAUGAAAGCUGACCUGGGAGAGAAGAUACAUAAUAAAAACAAACAAAAAACCUCACAGCCAGGGCUGACUUUGUCAAGGUUAGAGUUGCAAAACCUUUGUAAACACCUUUAAAAGUGCAAGAGUUCAGCCAGGCGCAGUGGCUCACGCCUGUAAUCCCCGCACUUUGAGAGGCCAAGGUGGGUGGAUCACCUGAUGUCACUCAGGAGUUUGAGACCAGCCUGUAAACAUGGUAAAACCCCAUCUCUACUAAAAAUACAAAAAUUAGCCGGGUAUGGCGGUGGGCGCCUGCAAUGCCAGCUACUUGGGAGGCUGACGCAGGAGAAUCUCUUGAACUUGGGAGGCAG
rnacentral:lncRNA from 10 species